rnacentral:lncRNA from 1 species
UAUAUUAUAAUGGAGUACAAGGGGUACUCGAACCCUUACAAUUCAAAGUCAGAAAUUAAAAGCUUUGAAUACAACUCAAAGGGUCGUGACACCAGUCUUGAAAUGAUAAACUAGAGUUUCGGCCAUACCGACUACUAAACCAAACCCAAGAACUGAAUUUAAUGUCAUCCAAAAGAAGAAGAGCAUUUGGGAGAGCUCCCUUAAAAAU